AAUCGCAGAAGUUACUCUCUCCUCGCUCAUUGCCCGUACACUAGAAGAAAACAUUCGUAACCAGAGCUACCAAAUCUUUAGUAAACGAAACAUUGGAAGAAUGUACAAACUUUUAGUAAAUAUUACCAAAACUUCGUAAAGCAAAUGUCAGAUGCAAUAUACAUCCUUACGAAAGAUCGGUACAUUUUACUUGAUAACGUUAGUAGUUUGUUGUCAUAUUUGAGCAACUGUGAAGUGCACAGAUAGCAGUCGUUAUUUCUAUUGUGGAAGCGAUGCAAUUCGAAGAUUUUGUGCAUCGAACUGUUUCGUAAACAAAAAGGGUUGCUCAAUUUCCAUUUGUUCUGAAGCUGUUCCCAGAGAAGCUUGGCCGUAAUGUUGCUUUGAACCCCAGUUAGAAUAUGGACAACAAAUACACUGUAGAUAUUAUAGAAUGAUCACAGCUCAGGAUGGGAUGCAACAAUUAAUUUGUGUAUCUUGAUGCAAAACAUGGCGAACUACUUUGAGUAGGAAACCAAGUGGAAGUGGAUCCGGAGAACAUUUAUUUACCGAAGCGAUGCAACGAAGCUAAACAUGAUAUAUAACAAAUCAUCAAGCUAGAGGAAAGACGCUGCUUGCACGAGUCCUUAUUGAGGAAAGAGGUGUUUCAUUUUUCAUACCAGUGAACCAGAAUUGGCUGGAUGUUCGAAGUGUCAGGUAUUUGUCUAAUAUCUUUAAUUGUUGCUUCAAGACGGAUGUAUGAUAUUCCAAAAUGACCAACCGGUUCCUCCCGGGAAUCGAUGGCUCCUAGCAGAACGAUAUUAAGCAGCUAUUAAUGAAAUAGUCAAUGUGUUAAGAGCCGAUAUUGAUGGAGCAGAAGUGGUUACGAUAAAUAAUUUGGAGAAAGCUUGAUAUAAGGUUAUAACGAGAUAUACGAGAUAAAGGGAUCGCACAAUCAUGUCAUGCGGGCCAUCGCUGGACCAUACCGCGAAAAUUAAUCAGGAGGAAGGCUAUCAAGUAACCAAUCCGUACCUGUGGUUCAAAGUAUAAUCCAAAAUUUGAUAAUACGAAGGAAUUGAAUUAUGGACAUCACAUUAACGCAAUGUUAUUGUCGUUAAAUCUAUGAGGGAGAUAACGAUCGAAGCAGUCGAAGAGGUGUGUCCCAUAAAACAAUGCAAUAUAUAUGAAAAUAAUUGAAGAAAUGAGUAGCAAAUUUCCGAAGACUACGCGAAUCCCUUCGCCUAUCGAUUAUGAAACUACCGGCAUAUAAGCAUAAACCAGGUUUGGACGGAUUGGACCAUUGGAUUGGAUUGGAUUCGCACCACUCGUUGCACAAAUGCUGCGCAGUCCAAUUUUUGCACUAAACAAACUUUUCAGACAGCACCUGCAACAAAAAUUCAACACAGAUGUCCCAUCUGAAUCUACCAAUCACUCAGCAGUAAAAUCCUUCGAGCGUGAAAACUAAUCCACUCUCAAAUUAUGACUCCAAAGGAAAGAAGAGUCUCGGACCGCCGCCAUCCAGUACAUUCGCAUUAAGUUUUUUUAGGU